CCUACGGGUGGCAGCAGUGGGGGAUAUUGCACAAUGGGGGAAACCCUGAUGCAGCGACGCCGCGUGAGUGAAGAAGUCUUUCGGUAUGUAAAGCUCUAUCAGCAGGGAAGAAAAAAGACGGUCCCUGACUAAGAAGCCUCGGCUAACUACGUGCCAGCAGCCGCGGUACGACGUAGGGGGCAAGCGUUAUCCGGAUGUACUGGGUGUAAAGGGAGCGUAGACGGCAAUACAAGUCGGAAGUGAAAUACCCGGGCUCAACCUUGGAACUGCUUUGGAAACUGGAUGGCUAGAGUGCUGGAGAGGUAAGCGGAAUUCCUGGUGUAGCGGUGAAAGGCGUAGAUAUUAGGAGGAACACCAGUGGCGAAGGCGGCUUACUGGACAGUAACUGACGUUGAGGCUCGAAAGCGUGGGGAGCAAACAGGAUUAGAUACCCGUGUAGUC
rnacentral:rRNA from 1 species